UUAGACCUCAAAUCAGUCAGGACUACCCGCUGAACUUAAGCAUAUCAAUAAGCGGAGGA
rnacentral:rRNA from 1 species